GACCCCGUAACUCAAUUGGACAGAGUGCCAGCCUUCUAAGCUGGAAGUUGUGGGUUCGAGUCCCAUCGGGGUCG
rnacentral:tRNA from 2 species